AGUGAACGCUGGCGGUAGGCCUAACACAUGCAAGUCGAACGGCAGCACAGUAAGAGCUUGCUCUUACGGGUGGCGAGUGGCGGACGGGUGAGGAAUACAUCGGAAUCUACUUUUUCGUGGGGGAUAACGUAGGGAAACUUACGCUAAUACCGCAUACGACCUACGGGUGAAAGCAGGGGAUCUUCGGACCUUGCGCGAUUGAAUGAGCCGAUGUCGGAUUAGCUAGUUGGCGGGGUAAAGGCCCACCAAGGCGACGAUCCGUAGCUGGUCUGAGAGGAUGAUCAGCCACACUGGAACUGAGACACGCUCCAGACUCCUACGGGAGGCAGCAGUGGGAAAUAUUGGACAAAGGGCGCAAGCCUGAUCCAGCCAUACCGCGUGGGUGAAGAAGGCCUUCGGGUUGUAAAGCCCUUUUGUUGGGAAAGAAAAGCAGCAGGUUAAUACCCCGCUGUUCUGACGGUACCCAAAGAAUAAGCACCGGCUAACUUCGUG
rnacentral:rRNA from 1 species